GCUGCGGUGUCCGAGUGGUUAAGGAGUUUGACUCGAAAUCAAAUGGGCUCUGCCCGCACAGGUUCGAAUCCUGUCCGCAGCG